rnacentral:rRNA from 1 species
GGGGAUAAGCGGAAGAAAUUCCGUCUAAUACCGCGUAAUAACUCCGAGAGGCAUCUCCUGGGGUUUAAAGGGUAACACCGGCUACGGAUGGCCAUGCGGCGCAUUAGCUAGUUGGCGGGGUAACGGCCCACCAAGGCGACGAUGCGUAGGGGUUCUGAGAGGAAGGUCCCCCACACUGGUACUGAGACACGGACCAGACUCCUACGGGAGGCAGCAGUGAGGAAUAUUGGUCAAUGGGCGCGAGCCUGAACCAGCCAAGUCGCGUGAGGGAAGACGGUCCUAUGGAUUGUAAACCUCUUUUGUCGGGGAGCAAAAGACGCCACGCGUGGCGUUCCGAGAGUACCCGAAGAAAAAGCAUCGGCUAACUCCGUGCCAGCAGCCGCGGUAAUACGGAGGAUGCGAGCGUUAUCCGGAUUUAUUGGGUUUAAAGGGUGCGCAGGCGGAAGAUCAAGUCAGCGGUAAAAUUGAGAGGCUCAACCUCUUCGAGCCGUUGAAACUGGUUUUCUUGAGUGAGCGAGAAGUAUGCGGAAUGCGUGGUGUAGCGGUGAAAUGCAUAGAUAUCACGCAGAACUCCGAUUGCGAAGGCAGCAUACCGGCGCUCAACUGACGCUCAUGCACGAAAGUGUGGGUAUCGAACAGGAUUAGAUACCCUGGUAGUCCACACAGUAAACGACGAA